rnacentral:lncRNA from 1 species
AGAAAACCACAGCAUAUUUUCCUCCUGGAAUAAUUUGAUUUCCUUUCACUGUAGAAAAGUCCAGAGAAAAUGGUUGCUGUUCUACCCUAAGCUUCCGUAAGCUCAGCCGAAUGAACGUCUGUGAUUUCACUUCCCAUCGUGGAUUUCCACACCGAUGCUCUGCUUUCCAUUUUGGAGCCCCGAUUACUCCGUGUGCUGCGAGAUCUUAAUGGAACGAGGCACGCUUGGCUUGGCUCUGCUCUGGGGCCAUGGCAUCUAGCCUGCCUCUGUGAUGAAUGAGUCUACUGCUUUAGCCACGAAUACGCCAACCUCCAAGGGACAGUCAAUUUGUUCGUUGACGUUUAUGAAGGACACCUGUGUAAUGUCUGACCACAGCUUGAAUCUCCGCAUCUAUCACGACAGUGUUCGGCUGGACCACAAUCAUUCUUCAAUGGGCUGUGAGUCAUCUAUUGCAAGCCAUGCUCCACCUCAGAAACAAGAAUUAGCAUCUAUAAGUAUUUAUGGAGAAAAAAGAAACCACACCUGGAAGAUGUGUGAGAUUCCCUUAAACUUUAUUGUUCUCGGAAAAAACUGAUCAUGAACUGCGGCGGCCGGCCACCAGGAGGAGCUGCGACUCUUCAGAAUUGCAAGUUCUGUUUGGAAAAGAAAGCUUUGAAAAGCAUUUUCUACUUUGGGGAGUCUCGGUGACAUCCAGAAAACACAAUCAAAGAAAGGUUUGAGAGGUUGCAGCGUGACUUUCCACGGGGAGCCCAUUUCCAUUAACUUUAUAUAGAGAGGGCAGAGACAGACCAAAUGGAUUCCAUUCAAGCCCAAUGUGGUGGACCUGUGAGUUUAUUGGGGUUACUCUCAGGAAUAUGGAGUACUUACUGGCUGCUACAUUACUGAGACAUCCCCUCUCAGCAGGUCCUUGCUGCUCAUAUAUCCUCAGGGUGGAGCCUUGAGAGUUUUCCCCCUCAGACCCGUGUGAACAUCAAUAGAUUCAGUCUCGUGCGAGUGAUCCCAGCGGUUCAGCUUUAAAGUAACAAUAAAGACACAGAGCACAGCA